CAGCCGCCACGGUAAUACGGAGGGGGCAAGCGUUAUCCGGAAUUAUUGGGCGUAAAGGGUACGUAGGUGGCCUUUUAAGCGUAGGGUAUAAGGCAAUGGCUCAACCAUUGUUCGCCCUAUGAACUGGAAGGCUUGAGUGCAGGAGAGGAAAGCGGAAUUCCUAGUGUAGCGGUGGAAUGCAUAGAUAUUAGGAGGAACAUCAGCGGCGAAGGCGGCUUUCUGGACUGCAACUGACACUGAGGUACGAAAGCGUGGGGAGCAAACAGGAUUAGAUACCCGUGUAGUCCCUGUCUCUUAUACA
rnacentral:rRNA from 1 species